CACGCAACCAAACCAAGAACUGCAGUUUCUCGUGUAAGUGGUGGUGCGAACAGCAAGGGAAUCUCAUCGCCUUUGGGGGGCUGUGCUGUGCCCCUCAGAGUGAAUGUGGAGGUUCUACACCC
rnacentral:snoRNA from 1 species